GGAUGGUUCUCGGGUGACACACCCCGGAAUUGGGCUCCCUCUUCUCUAGUUCUGGGUACGUCACCCAAGAAGCUCA
rfam:Myotis davidii contig96627, whole genome shotgun sequence.